ncrna:Shigella flexneri 5 str. 8401 Moco (molybdenum cofactor) riboswitch
UUAACCACUAAACACUCUAGCCUCUGCACCUGGGUCAACUGAUACGGUGCUUUGGCCGUGACAAUGCUCGUAAAGAUUGCCACCAGGGCGAAGGAAAGAAAUGACUUCGCCUCCCGUAUCUGGAAAGGUGUACAUGGCUUCACAAC